GUGGGGUGGUCACUAUCUAUAGAGGUGUGGGGUGAUCACUAUAGAGGUGUGGGGUGGUCACUAUCUAUAGAGGUGUGGGUGGUCACUAUAGAGGUGUGGGGUGGUCACUAUCUAUAGAGGUGUGGGGUGGUCACUAUAGAGGUGUGGGGUGGUCACUAUCUAUAGAGGUGUGGGGUGAUCACUAUAGAGGUGUGGGGUGGUCACUAUCUAUAUAGGUGUGGGUGGUCACUAUAGAGGUGUGGGGUGGUCACUAUCUAUAGAGGUGUGGGGUGGUCACUAUCUAUAGAGGUGUGGGGUGGUCACUAUAGAGGUGUGGGGUGGUCACUAUCUAUAGAGGUGUGGGUGGUCACUGUAGAGGUGUGGGGUGGUCACUAUCUAUAGAGGUGUGGGGUGAUCACUAUAGAGGUGUGGGGUGGUCACUAUCUAUAGAGGUGUGGGGUGGUCACUAUCUAUAGAGGUGUGGGUGGUCACUAUAGAGGUGUGGGGUGGUCACUAUCUAUAGAGGUGUGGGGUGGUCACUAUAGAGGUGUGGGGUGGUCACUAUCUAUAGAGGUGUGGGGUGGUCACUAUCUAUAGAGGUGUGGGGUGAUCACUAUAGAGGUGUGGGGUGGUCACUAUAGAGGUGUGGGGUGGUCAUUGUUACUGCAGUGGGUGUUAGAGGUGUGGGGUGGUCACUGUGACUGCAGUGGGUGUUAGAGGUGUGGGGUGGUCAUUGUUACUGCAGUGGGUGUUAGAGGUGUGGGGUGGUCAUUGUUACUGCAGUGGGUGUUAGAGGUGUGGGGUGGUCACUAUCUAUAGAGGUGUGGGGUGGGUGUUGGAUGGUCACUGUCGGUCCCCCUGCUGUGUGGAAU